UUGAACGCUGGCGGAAUGCUUUACACAUGCAAGUCGAGCGGCAGCGCGGGGCAACCUGGCGGCGAGCGGCGAACGGGUGAGUAACAUAUCGGAACGUAUCCAUAAGUGGGGGACAACCUAGCGAAAGUUAGGCUAAUACCGCAUACGCUCGAGAGAGGAAAGUGGGGGAUCGCAAGACCUCACGCUUUAGGAGCGGCCGAUAUCAGAUUAGCUAGAUGGUGAGGUAAAGGCUUACCAUGGCGACGAUCUGUAGCUGGUCUGAGAGGAUGAUCAGCCACACUGGGACUGAGACACGGCCCAGACUCCUACGGGAGGCAGCAGUGGGGAAUUUUGGACAAUGGGGGCAACCCUGAUCCAGCCAUUCCGCGUGAGUGAAGAAGGCCUUCGGGUUGUAAAGCUCUUUUGUUCGGGACGAAACGGUUUUGGCGAAUACCCAAGACUACUGACGGUACCGGAAGAAUAAGCACCGGCUAACUACGU
rnacentral:rRNA from 1 species